UCUUAAUAUUGUUACCCUUUUUAAAAAAUAGUUUUCAUAAUUUGAGGUAUUCUUGUUUUCUAAUUCAUCCUCCAAGAGGAGCGACUAUCAAAGGCUUUAUAAUGAUUUAGUGGGUUAAAACCCUGAAUUAUCUGCUGAAAUCUUAUUUUGGAGAAAAUCUUAUCUUUAUAUCUUAUCUUUGGAAUUUCUGUAUCUAAAACCUCUUCUGAAUUCCCUCUCUAAAAAAAAAAUCUAACAUGGGGUUCCAUAAAGUCGAUUAGCCAAGAUUCAGAGAAAUUGUACAGACAGGUAACAAAAUUUUAGACAAGUGGAAGUUUUAAAAACGAGAUUUUUAUACAAUGGUCUUGGUGCUUGAAAUGUUAUUGUAAAAUUGCUUUUACCUCCAUAUCCACGCAUGUUACCGGGAAACUGACGGAGGCCAAGCACAGAGAGAUGGACACAGGUUUCUUCAGGAAGGAAGAGAUCUUUAUUCGAUUCACCGACCGGGACUCAGAGGGACUUAU